rnacentral:rRNA from 1 species
AAUCAACGCUGGCGGCGUGCCUCAGACAUGCAAGUCGAACGAGAAAGUUCCCUUCGGGAGCGAGUAAAGUGGCGCACGGGUGAGUAACACGUAGGUAAUCUACCUUCGGGUGGGGAAUAACCCAGGGAAACUUGGGCUAACACCGCAUAAUGCAGCGGCACCACAUGGUGACAGUUGUUAAAGCGGGGGAUUUUAGGACCUCGCGCCUGAAGAGGAGCCUGCGGCGGAUUAGCUUGUUGGAAGGUAACGGCUUACCAAGGCGACGAUCCGUAGCCGGCCUGAGAGGGCGGUCGGCCGACACUGA